rnacentral:rRNA from 1 species
UUCGAUUGUGCCAGCAGCCGCGGUAAUACGGAGGAUCCAAGCGUUAUCCGGAUUUAUUGGGUUUAAAGGGUGCGUAGGCGGAAUGGUAAGUUAUAGGUGAAAUACCGUUGCUCAACAACGGAACUGCCUGUAAUACUGCCACUCUAGAGAUCAGAUGCUGUGGGCGGAAUGUGUGGUGUAGCGGUGAAAUGCUUAGAUAUCGCGCAGAACUCCGAUUGCGAAGGCAGCUGGCCAACUCGCCGCUGACGCUCAUGCACGACAGCGUGGGGAUCAAACAGGAUUAGAUACCCUGGUAGUCCACGCCGUAAACUAUGAGUGCUCGCUGUUCGAGGUUACCCCUUGAGCGGCUUAGAGAAAUCGUUAAGCACUCCACCUGGGGAGUACGUUCGCAAG